rnacentral:rRNA from 1 species
UACGUAGGCAGCGAGCGUUGUUCGGAGUUACUGGGCGGAAAGGGUGUGUAGGCGGUUCUUUAAGUUUGGUGUGAAAUCUCCCGGCUCAACCGGGAGGGUGCGCCGAAUACUGAGGGACUUCGAGUGCGGGAGAGGAAAGUGGAAUUCCUGGUGUAGCGGUGAAAUGUGUAGAGAUCCGGAAGAACACCGGUGGCGAAGGCGGCCUGCUGGGACAUGGCUGACGCUGAGGCGCGACAGCGUGGGGAGCAAACAGG